UGCGUCCGAGUUGUAAUCUAUAGAGUCGUUUUCCGUGCCGGACUGUGUCCAAGUCCCUUGGAACAGGGUAUCAAAGAGGGUGAUAAUCCCGUACUUGACACAAUGACCGGUGCUCUGUGAUACGUCUUCUACGAGUCGAGUUGUUUGGGAAUGCAGCUCAAAAUGGGUGGUGAGUUCCAUCUAAAGCUAAAUAUUGGCGAGAGACCGAUAGCGAACAAGUACCGUGAGGGAAAGAUGAAAAGCACUUUGGAAAGAGAGUUAAACAGUACGUGAAAUUGUUAAAAGGGAAACGAUUGAAGUCAGUCGUGACUGAGAGGCUCAGCCGGUUCUGCCGGUGUAUUCCCCUCAGUCGGGUCAACAUCAGUUUUGUUCGGUGGAUAAGGGCAGUUGGAAGGUGGCACCCUCGGGUGUGUUAUAGCCAGCUGUCGCAUACAUCGGAUGAGACUGAGGAAUGCAGCUCGCCUUUAUGGCCGGGG
rnacentral:rRNA from 1 species